rnacentral:tRNA from 1 species
GAGGUUAUAGCCCAGUGGUAUAGCGUGUGCUUAGUGUGCACAAGGUUGUGGGUUCGACCCCCAGUACCUCCG